rnacentral:lncRNA from 1 species
AGGAUUAUAUGUCAAAGGAAGUAUUGACAGUUUACACAAUUGAGAUCUGCACUACAAAGUGAGUAGUGAGUCAUCCUGACCCUUUACAAGAUUAAGAAGGAAUGUUAUCUCCUAAGGGGGUCUGGUCAAUGCAGAUGCACAACUCACAUGAAAAGUGAGGGAGGAGACCCAAACAGGCAAAGAAAAACCUUGUUUAAAUUUUUCUUGUCUUGCUAUAAAAUACAAGUUUUAUUCAUCAGAGGUGAUAAUAAUGACUAACAUUUGUUGUAUAGUAGACUAAGCAGAUAUAUGCCUCAUUUCUGCAUUUUCAGAAUCUCUAGAAAGUAAGUCUUCUUGACAGACAUCCAUUUUAGAGAUGAAGAAAUUGAAGCCUAACUGUUGAGGUGCCAUCUCUGAAAACCAGUGCUCUGCCCAGAGCCCCAGCAGCCAGAGUAUGCCACUGAACCCACACAGCAGGGUGAAUACUGAACCAAGGAUGCAGUUCAGAGAGACCAGCUCCUGUGUCAGUCUGGCCAGAGGCCUUCCCAGCUGCAACUCCUUGAACAUCAGCGUUCCCUCCAGCACUGUGUUCUUCACUCUCUGCCUGCAGUGAAGGUACAAGCAAGAGGUGAAGGAGAAAGUAUUUUCCUUUUAAAUUCUCUAUGA